GACGAACGCUGGCGGCGUGCCUAACACAUGCAAGUCGAACGAACGGACGAGAAGCUUGCUCCCCUGAUGUUAGCGGCGGACGGGUGAGUAACACGUGGAUAACCUACCUAUAAGACUGGGAUAAUUUCGGGAAACCGGGUCUAAUACCGGAUAAUAUUUUGAACCGCAUGGUUCACACGUGGAAGACGCUCUUGCUGUCACUUAUCGAUGGAUCCGGGCUGUAUUAGCUGGUUGGUAAGGUAACGGCUUCCCAAGGCAACGAUGCAUAGCCGACCGGAAAGAGUGGUAGCCCACCCGGGAGGUGAGACGGGGACAAGACGCCUGAGGGAGGGAGCAGUCGGGAAUGUUACGCAAUGGGGGAGAGCCUGACAGAGUAAGGCCGAGUGAGAGGUGAAAAAGCUCGGAGCGGAAAGAUGUGUUAUGGGUGGGGAACAUAUGUGUGAGGAGAUGAGCAGAUAGUGACGGUACCUGAAGAAAAAGCCCCGGCUAACUACGUG
rnacentral:rRNA from 1 species